rnacentral:rRNA from 1 species
GACGUAGGGCGCGAGCGUUGUCCGGAUUUAUUGGGCGUAAAGAGCUCGUAGGCGGCUUGUCGCGUCGACCGUGAAACCUCACAGCUCAACUGUGAGCCUGCGGUCGAUACGGGCAGGCUAGAGUUCGGUAGGGGAGACUGGAAUUCCUGGUGUAGCGGUGAAAUGCGCAGAUAUCAGGAGGAACACCGGUGGCGAAGGCGGGUCUCUGGGCCGAUACUGACACUGAGAGACGAAAACUAGGGGAGCAAAUGGG